GUUCAUUCUAUACUUAACUGAUUUUGUUCAUUUUCUUUAUAGAAGAAAGACAUGACUAUGUGCGUUUGCUUUCAUCGUUAGCAUAGCGCAACAGUAGCAAAAAUGAAAGAGGUUUUUCUGAGCAUGAAAAUGCUAACGCUAGGUCUGACAUUAAAACUAUUAUUUCACUCAAACUGUGAACAGAUGUUUGUGUUAAACCAGGGAAUCAAAUCAUUUGGUCCCUGUUGAA